CUACGUAUGACUGAGUUCAACUGCUCCAACAGAUACCUACAUUUAGAAAUUAUGAUGAAUGAAGGAAAAUGAAUCAGUUUCCCCACUGAUUCAUAUUAAUAAUGAAUGAAUUGUUUCGAUUAAUUAAUACGAAAUUAUUUGCCAUUUUUUAACAUAAUAAUUUCUUAUUGAUUAACCAAAACGAUUCAUUCAUUAUUAAUAUUGGCAUAAAUUUCUUCAUGUGACUAAUAAGUUCCAGGUUAGUUUUUGGUUCCGACUUCUGACCCAUCAAGAUAUAAUCACUGCUUAAAUUUUUGUAGACACGUAAUUUUUGACCUGCCAUGUCUUCAAGCUAUAUUAGCAGUUUCGCACAUUUUAUGUAUUUAUUUGAGUUAUUUGAAUUUUUCUAAGAUUCUAAUGUACUAUUUUAUUUUUAUUUUUAUUUUAUUUAGUAUUUUAAAAAAUUAAAAAAUUAAAAAAUAGUUUCAAGUCUAUUUAAUUUAAGGUUAAUUAGUACUUAAUGUAGUAAUACUAUUUUUAUCUAUAUUUAUUUAUAUAUAAUCUUGAAAAAUAUAAAAAAAAUUAGUUUCCUAAUAUCAUAUUAUUUAUUUUAAUUAAUUAGGGUUAGUUAUGUAUUUUAUAGCAUAAAUUUUACAUUAUUUGUAGAAAAAAGAUCAAGAUUUUGGGUUGGAAAGGCCCAAUUUCGGACAGCCCUACACCAUUACCCGAUGGACCCAAUUCCCACAACUUGAGCCCAAUAUAAGUUGACCCAUUAGUCAUUUGAGCCCGCAACCUUCUUAUAAUCCCUAAAAUUAAACUUAAUUAGGCACAAUAAAAGAGAGGAGCUCUCAUUUCUUAAAGGAGAUGAAGGAGCAGAUGUUAUGGAAUGAAGCUAGUAUCAAUGUAAUGGAGAUGAGGCUUUCUGAUAAGGAGAUACACUAUGUAGUCCAGGUAUGUCCCAAUAAACCCCCCAUGGCUUUUAUUUGCGAUAUAUGCUAGCCGUCAUUACCAAUUACAUAAUCUAGUUAAUUUGCAUGACACUAUUUGCAUGCCUUGGCUGGUAGAGAGCGAUUUUAAUAAAAUAUUAUAGUCAAAAGAAAAUUUUGGUGGAUUACCUAUUAAUAACAAUAGAUCUCAUAACUUUGGUAAAUGUCUAAAUUAUUGAAAGUUAAUUGAUAUAGGCAUUCAAGGUAGUCGUUAUACACGGACAAAUAAAUGCAGACAUGGUUACACAAUCCUAGAACGACUUGAUCAUUUUCUAGCCAACUAUGACUGGCUAAAUCUAUACCCAUAAGUGAUAGUGAAAUAUUUAGCGCGUGCUCAUUUCGAUUAUUGCCCGCUUUUAGUUACAUUAGAGCCCACGCCUACUACACACCAUAACAUAUUUACAUUUGAAACUAUGUGGGCAUGACAUCCACAGUUUCAACAAUUAGUCCAUGACAUUUUGUCAGAAGACCAGCCACUACUUGAUAUAGUUAAUAAGUUUCAGUUAGUAACUACUCGCCGGAAUAAACAAACUUUUGGUAAUAUAUUUCAAGAAAAAAAGGAAAAUACUAGAAGACUAGUAGGUAUACAAGCAUCUAUACAUUUUCCUACGAGCAUAUUUCUACAAAACUUGAAAACACAAUUAAACCUAGAUUACAAUAACAUACUAUGCAUAGAGGAAGAAUUUUGGAAAUUAAAAUCUCGUAUCCGCUGCUAAAUGAUGGCGAUGCCAAUACAAAAAAUUUUCAUAUGUCUACUCUACACAAAUGACGGAGGAACCGAAUCAAUACUUUAAAGGACCCAGUGUGGAACUAGAUUACUGGCCCCUCUAAUUUACAAAACUUAAUCAUAAAUUACUACCAAACUAUGUUCACAACUAAGAAUUUGUGGUCCACUAAAUCUCAUUGGGACCUGUAACGAACCGACCGGUUGUUUUACUAUUUAGAACCUCAUUCUCUUAAAUAAAGCUUUCUACGCUUUCCUUAGCUAAUUUCGACUUGCAGGGGUGACGGUAGUUAGAAGAGUUUUGAGUGAAAAUAAAACCAAUUAUUCCCUUACGGUUUCCUUAGAAGGCCAUAAUCGACUUCAGUCAACUUUCUUGGGAAACAGACCUAUAUUCGUGAUUUGACAUUCUCGGGAGGUCCGUGGGAAAAUAUAGGACCUGGGCAUAUGCUCGAAAUCAAAUUCCGAGGUCCCUAGCUCGAGUACAAAAUUUUUAUGUAAAAUUGUUAAAUCGAAAUUUUAAGGAAUUAAGGAAUCUAAGUAUUUAUUAAAAACCUAGGUAUCAGAUUCGGAUUCUGGUUCCGAAACUUGGUACAAGUCCAAAAUAUCAAUUAAGACCCACUGAUAAAAUUUGGUGUCAAUCCUACUAGUCUAAGGGCGUUUUGACCCGUUGAAGGGAAAUUAAGAACUUGAAAUUUGUAGAGUUGAUUCAAUUGGUUUUGGGGUUCGAUACUUUGAUUUAACGUUGUUUUGAGUGUUUCGAGGGUUCGACUAGGUCCACCUCAUGAUUUCAGACUUGUCGGUAUGUUUGGGUGGGGCUCGGGAGCCCCGAGCUUCAAAUGAUCGAGGUUCGAGCGAAGUUGGAACUUAAAAAAACCAUAUCUGCUGCUUUUGUCAUAACCGCUUCUGCGGUACUUGGCCCGCAGAAGCGAUCUAGUGGACGCAAAAGCGGAAAAGGGGUCAGGGGGAGGAGACUGCAUAAGCGACCCUUGGGACCGCAAAAGCGGUCCCGCCUUUGCAGAAAACAAAUCGCAGAAGCGGUCCAGCCAGGCCUUCCCCAAACUGCAAAAGCGGCUUUCUAGCCGCAAAAGCGAACUCCGCAGGUGCGGAAAUAUGCCCGCUGAAGCGAAAAUCGCUGGGCAGAAGGGUUCAUUAAAUACGAACCCAAACUCAUUCUCUCUCAUUUUUACUCCACAUUUGGGCGGUUUUGAAGAUUCCAAAGAGAGAGUUUCUUCAUAACAUCACAAGGUGGGUAAUCCCCAUUCAUUCUUAGCUUAAGUACAUGAACAUUAGAUAGAUUAACACUAAUAAUCAAAUAAAAUCAAGGCUUAGAUGUAGACCUAACGUUUUGAUAAAACUAUGAUUUAACUAUCUAAUUAGCUAUGUAAUGAACUAAAAAUCACAUAUUAGUAAUCCUUAGGUUAUAGAGAGUAAUUUCCUUCGAAAAUUCUCGGAAUCCGGGCACGUGGGCCCGGGGACGUAAUUUAGGAAACUUGCGGGAAAGGUUGGAAAAUCACUUAAAUUAGCUAGAAUUCAACUUGUAAACACUUAUUGACUAGUUGUUGCUCUAUUUAACUAGUUUUUGCUCUAUUUAACUAGUUGUUGCUCGUUCGGCAUCAAAUUGAGGUUGGAGCAUAUUCUUAUUAUCGAAAGAGAGUUUAGGAGUGAGGUGGGCCUCCUUUCUAACUUUGUGAGAGGAAAAUGUCCCCGUAGGGUUAAUAAAAUAUAUAAUUGUUGCUAAAUGCGGGGCCUACAUACGCACAAGGUGACGAGAGUCCGUGCAUAGCAAUUACUAUAUUAAUUGUUCGGGUAGUUUAGGAACCACAUCAUACUAUAUCUAUGAAUAUCUAUAUUUCAUCAUGCUAAUGUGAUUGCCUAGGAUAUAUUAGAGGCAAGAAGGAAAAUAAAAGUAAACUUGUACAAUUGUUGAACACUUGUGUGGCAUAAUUUAAUAUGUAUUGCCUUGUAUGCAUUCUUGAUGCUUUCUUGUUAUUUGUGGAUCGGGCCGAUCGCCUCAGUAUGAAUAGAUGCAUCUAUAGGCACGUCGUCGACCCUCGGCAAGUGCACAUUUCAUUAUGUUGGUUCGGGUCGUCGCAUCGGUAUAAUGUGCGCAUGAUUAUUAUGUGGAAACUUGUACUCACACUACUUGUUAUUAUACAUUGAACAUAAAAUUGAAAAAUCAUGAUAUUGUAAAGACAUGACUUAUCUCUAUUGCCUUAAACAUGUUAAUACUAGUAGCUUCCAUGCUUAUAAAUAAUCUCACAUAUUAUUUUGGCCUUAGUAAGUAUCAAGUCAACCUCUUGUCUCUACUUCUUCGAAGUUCGACGGGAAUCUUACUGGCUACAUGUUGUUUAUGUACGCAUGCUAUGCUUUUGUACUUAAAUAUACAGGAUCUGAGGCAGGUGGAUUUUGUUGCGCAUCUGAGAUAUCUUGGACUUCUACGGUGAGCUGCCUCCUUUCAUUGACGAUCUGCGGCCGAAGAAGUCAUCUCUAUAGUUUUGCUUUUAUGUAUAUCGUGAUUCAGAGAGUAGGAUAGUAUAUUAUUCUUUUGUAUAUUCUCUACUAGCUGCCCAUAAUUGUGACAACAUGUUCUGGCACGCACUUUAGUAGACUAGUUUUGGGUUGUAAUAGUAUGUCUCUACUUGGAUUACUGUAUCGGGUUCUGGAAACUCCUUUUGAGAUACUUAUUCCCUUCUUUAAAAUGUUGAUAUUGUUAAACUUAGAAAUGUCUUCCGCAAUUAGCUUGCCCAGCAAGGUCGUUGGGCACCAUCAUGACCUAUUGUGAAAAUGGGUCGUGACAACAUGGUAUAAGAGCAUUAGGUUCACGUAGGUCUCACAGUGUUACGGGCAAAACCUAAUCGAGUUUUGUAAAUCGGUACGGAGUCGUCCGUAUUUAUCUUCGAGAGGCUAUUGUCACAACUCCUUAUUCGUUAUACAGCCGCAAGGACGUAAAGGAGUUUUUCCACUUAAAGGACAAUCGAAACGAGAUUUGGUUAUUAAUUAAUUCAGAGUAGCCACUUAAGAGAUUAAUGGUGUCCCAAGUCACAGAUUUUAAUCCUGAACAGAGGAAAAAUAUGACUCUAUUACAGUCCGCAAACCAGAUAUCCGAGUAAGGAAUUCUGUUAACCCAGAAGAAGAUGUUUGGCAUUUCCGGGUUCCGUGGUUCUAGCACGGUCGCUCAACUAUUGUAUUUGAUUUUAUCUAAUUUUAAUACAUGCUAGCUUAUGUGCUUUUUAUUCGUAAACCGCUUUUUAUCAUUAUUCAUUUUAAAAGAAUUGUGACAUCGUGAAAACGUGUCUCUGACCAUUUCGCCAUCAAGGCACCCGUGGUCGUCAACACAUUUCGACUUCGUCGAUAUUUGGAUUUAGAUCGCAUCAAUGCGCACCCGAGUUUAAGAAAGUAAUUUAAUUAAAUCGCGCUUAAAAGUUCUAACGUAAUAUUGUUUCGGGAAAGGCCGUUGAAAUUCGCUAAACGGCCCUUCCAAAUUCUAAUCAUUUUUAAUAAGCAAUUAUUGAGGGCCCCACAUUUAUUUUGUUUGGUGAGGCUCGUCUCCAUUUUUUGAACCAUUUUUUGAUUGUUAUUUAUUUUAUAAUAAUUACGACGUCGUGAAAACGUAUUUCGAACUCAGUCGUCAUCAAGGAACCCGUGGUCGUCAACACAUUUCGACUUCGUCGAGAUUUGGAGUUGGGUUGUAUCAAUGCACACCCGAGUUUAAGAAGGUACUUUAUUAAAACACGUCUAAAAAUUCUAUCGCAAUUUUAGUUUGGGGAAGGCCGCGAAAUUCUCUAAACGGCCCUCCCGAAUUCUAAACAUUUUUUAUAGAAACAUUUAUUGAGGCCCCGCAAAUACAUAACCCAAAAGAAAGAGACGAACAAAAUCUCAUUUACAUGAAUACUGCUCGUUUCGAAAUACUGUUUUAGACAAGAGGGGUUGCUCUGAUUGUAAGCAACUCCCACUUCCAACCGAGAGGUUGUGAGUUUGAGUCUCCCCAAGAGCAAGGUGGGNNNNNNNNNNNNNNNNNNNNNNNNNNNNNNNNNNNNNNNNNNNNNNNNNNNNNNNNNNNNNNNNNNNNNNNNNNNNNNNNNNNNNNNNNNNNNNNNNNNNNNNNNNNNNNNNNNNNNNNNNNNUUGAGUCUCCCCAAGAGCAAGGUGGGAAGUUCUUGGAGGGAAGGAUGUCGGGGUUCUAUUUGGAAACAGCCUCUCUACCCUAGGGUAGAGGUAAGGUAUGCGUAUAUACUACCCUCCCCAGACCCUACUAUGUGGGAUUAUACUGGAUUGUUGUUGUUGCUGCUGCUUUACUGAUGAAACAGACUAAUGUAUAGCAGAAUAGUGACAUUUGAAGAAACAUACAAGAAGCUUGGUAAAUCAUGUGUGUUAAAUGAAGAAAAUCAUAUUUCAUUGGUAAAUGUCAAAGCCAAGAAAUAUGUGUUAAAUGAAGAAAGAUGCGUGCAUGAAUUCAAGCUAAAUACAUGAGACCUAUCACAAUUUCAAUCACUGAAUCCUUUUCAAAUCAAACUCGUCAUUACUAAUUAGAUAGACGCCAUGUUUUAGGAAUCGACUAAAUCAAACUAAACAUUCUGCUUAUGUUCAAAACGAGAUGGAAGCAGAUUCAGCCAAUCCGCUAAAUGAAAAGACGCCAUGUUUUAGGAAUCGACUAAAUCAAACUAAACAUUCUGCUUAUGUUCAAAACGAGAUGGAAGCAAAUUCAGCCAAUCCGCUAAAGGAAUUUAGACAAAAUAACCAACUUUUCUUGCAAAUGAAAGAAAAGUGCAGAUUUGUGAUGUGCACCUUGAGAGCAACAGCUCUUGAAUCUGAAAACGUUUUGGAGCAGAAAACUCGACGCGACAACCUCGAACGGGCUUCGACAAAGAAUCAACAGAAACAGUUGUUGAGACUCAAUCGGAAAACUCGAGACUCGCCGGAGACAUUAGAACAACGAUAACAGAAUUCACAAGAAUCUAGGCUUAAAUUAGGAGUAGAUGAAUUUAAAGCGUUCAAGAUUUCCACCUAGCAUUCUUCUCGUGAGAGCCUAUUUCGACAGAAACUAAUACCAGCUCAAAUGCAACGUUUUGUAUUCAUACUGUCAUAUUCAAAACCAAGCAAACCUAUGAUUCAUCUACCAAAUUUUAACAGGCAAGCAAUUUCACACUGACAAACUGACUGAGCUAUAACAACUAUUUGAAUCGACGAAAUCUGGACCCAAACGAAAACUCGACCUUACGAUAACAGGUAAACCAUAUAAGCGUAGAGAAACGACCACUCAAAAUCAACUUCAACUAACUGGACAUACUUAAAUACAUCAUAUCGCCGAGCAUAGGUUCAUUCGAUAGGAAAUUUGAUCAUAGAAUCAUUCGAGACAGAAUGCACAUCUCAAGAACAUUUUCUUCAAAAACAAAAGCAGCGUUACAUGAUGGAAAAGAAAUUCAAACCUGAAGUUGCAAACUCCUGCUAAUAAUUAUAGACUCGACAAUACACCUCUUGACUCCAAAUCCUAGCGAGGUUCCACGGCAAAUCAGUAAGACGACAGUAGAGAACCAAGCUCGAACUUCAAUUUUUAUCUCCUUGGAAACCAGAAUCGAAAAUUGAAAUGAAGAAACAGAAAAAUUUUGUUCUGACACUCAAACCAACCUAAAAUCCCACAUUAUCAAUUAAUCCACUAAAAUCUCACACUGCAAGUCAAAAUUCGAAACAGAAGCAAUUUUUAUUUUUUUUUGCUUUUAUUUUCUGGAUUAAAACAGAAUGUAGAAAAUGGAAGAACAGGAAGAGCUCUAAUGUUUUUAUCCAAACUUUCUCUCAAAAUUCUUUUUCAGAAUCCUCCCCCAUCGAGAAUAAGAUUAAGUCCUUUUAUGAAACGAGUCCCUGAUAAAUGUUGGGCUCGGAUUGAACAAAAUCAAUCCAUUGCCUCACAUUCAUCCAACGAAUCGUCUCUAGGACCUUCCAAUCGCGUGCUUUAAUCCCAAAAUCGAGCGACUGAGAGGAGAGGGAAUCUCUGGUGAGAAACGGUUAUCUGUGCCAAGAGGAGAGAAAGGGGAACGCGUGGAAUGAGGGAUUUGGUGCUCACUCGCUUGGAUUUGGGCUGAAAUGGAAAGAGAUUCGGGUGUUUUUGGGAGAAGAAGAAGAACAAUCACGUUUAGAUUAGGGAUUUUGGCACUCUGUUCGUGUGUGUGUUUUGAUGGAGAAUGGGUCGGAUGUGGGAGCAGACGGGCGGGUUUUAUUUUU
rnacentral:lncRNA from 1 species